AAUAUACUGUUAUUCUUGACUUCUUUAUUUGAUUUCAGUCAUAACGGCCCUCCAAGGGAAACGGUCACUAAAAUGUGGCCCACAAUGGUGUGACACCCCGGCACUAAAGCAUAUGUAUGAAAGUCACUGUUGGGGACAACUUUUUUUUUUCCACAAAGGCUUGUUAUCGGUAGUGAUGGGUCCAGCGACACCGAUGCAUUGACACAUGCGCCGGGCUCACAGAGCAAACCACGUGUCGAUGCAUGUGCUGGCUCAUUACGUCACGUGAUUGACACGUGAACUGCGUUGACACAGUCUAGGCUUCUAAUUGACACACCGGCUGCGUUGACACAGUCCAGGCUGCUAAUUGACACAUGGCUGCGUUGACACAGUCCAGGCUGCUAAUUGACACGUGAACUGCACCGGUGCAGUUUAGACUGCAUCGGCUGCUUGGCACAGUACAGGCUGCGCCACUUAGUCCAGGGGGCGUCGACUCAGUGCAGAGGGCGUUGACGCAGCAAAAGCCCGCCGCACAGUGUUUAUAAGGAAGUGGGUUUGGCGACACAAUGCCACUUGCCGAAACAAGCCAGACCUCACUCACGCUCGCUUGUCGAAGUUCGUGUCAGUGCAGACUUCGUGUUCGUGCCUUGCCUUCCUUGCCGAUUAUGGAGCAGAGACGCAAAUCAUCCGCCAUGUGGGACCAUUUUGAUGUCCCGGAGAAUAAGGUGAAAUGUCGAAUUUGCCGGGUCGAAUUGUCAUACACCAACAGAAGCACCUCCACCAUGCUGAGGCAUUAUCGGGCCAAGCAUGAGAAUGAAGUUCGCGAUACACCCAGUAUUACGCCAGGUUCCACGAAGCAGCUGUACUGGAAGGACCAACACACUUCUUUCCCAAACCUCUCCCACCUCGCAAAGGAGUUCCUUUGUACGCCAGCCUCAUCCGUCCCUUGUGAGCGUGUGUUCUCCACAGCAGGAGAAAUCGCUUGUAAAAGACGCAACAGGCUGAAGUUUAAAACAUUGGAGCAUCUUAUUUUUCUCAAUAAAAAUUUGUGAAAUAAAAGCCCACAAGCAUCCUCAUUCAAAUGAUCUUCACAUUAUUGGAACACAUUGAAUGUUGCAAAAUGAAUGCAUGGAUGUGAAUGAUAUUGUACAC